rnacentral:rRNA from 1 species
CCUACGGGAGGCAGCAGUGAGGAAUAUUGGUCAAUGGACGAGAGUCUGAACCAGCCAAGUAGCGUGAAGGAUGACUGCCCUAUGGGUUGUAAACUUCUUUUAUAUGGGAAUAAAAUGUUCCACGUGUGGGAUUUUGUAUGUACCAUAUGAAUAAGGAUCGGCUAACUCCGUGCCAGCAGCCGCGGUAAUACGGAGGAUCCGAGCGUUAUCCGGAUUUAUUGGGUUUAAAGGGAGCGUAGGUGGAUUGUUAAGUCAGUUGUGAAAGUUUGCGGCUCAACCGUAAAAUUGCAGUUGAAACUGGCAGUCUUGAGUACAGUAGAGGUGGGCGGAAGUCGUGGUGUAGCGGUGAAAUGCUGAGAUAUCACGAAGAACUCCGAUUGCGAAGGCAGUUCACUGGACUGCAACUGACACUGAGGCUCGAAAGUGUGGGUAUCAAACAGGAUUAGAUACCCUUGUAGUC